rnacentral:rRNA from 1 species
GACGAACGCUGGCGGCGUGCUUAACACAUGCAAGUCGAGCGGUAAGGCCUGCUUCGGUGGGUACACGAGCGGCGAACGGGUGAGUAACACGUGGGUGACCUGCCCUUAGCUCUGGGAUAAGCCUGGGAAACUGGGUCUAAUACCGGAUAUGACCAUAUGUCGCAUGGUGUGUGGUGGAAAGCCUGGUUGUUGUGACUGGGUGGCUGGGGAGUGGGCCCGCGGCCUAUCAGCUUGUUGGUGGGGUGAGU